CAACCAUUAUAACAGACGGCCUUUGCAUUGCUCUUCUGGUUGCCUUCUGAGGAGGCAACACAAAGGCCAUUAGCAUGAAAUAACAUACAAUAUCAGAGAACAAUCCAAGCACUUAAGACAAGAUACUUGUGUUCAGUGGGGUUUGAAAACCAAACUUAUUUUCUGGAAGAACAUUUCCAGUGAUUUGCAACUCAUCCAAUUCAAGUGACCACUAGUGGUCUGUGUCUAUUUCUCCCUGCCACAGGAGUGGCACAAUACCAGCACCCUCAAAUAUUCCAUAUUUGACAUGAAAAUGCAAAC